rnacentral:rRNA from 1 species
GGGGGGGGGGGGGGGGGGGGGGGGGGGGGGGGGGGGGGAGGGGGGGGCCCGGCUGGGGGGGGGUGCUCGAGGGGCGAACGGGUGAGUAAGACGUGGGUAACCUGCCCUUGACUUUGGGAUAACUUCCGGAAACUGGGGCUAAUACCGGAUAGGAGCUCCUGCUGCAUGGUGGGGGUUGGAAAGUUUCGGCGGUUGGGGAGGGACUCGCGGCUGAUCCGCUUGUUGGUGGGGUAGUGGCUUACCAAGGCUUUGACGGGUAGCCGGCCUGAGCGGGUGACCGGCCACAUUGGGACUGAGAUACGGCCCAGACUCCUACGGGAGGCAGCAGUGGGGAAUAUUGCACAAUGGGCGGAAGCCUGAUGCAGCAACGCCGCGUGCGGGAUGACGGCCUUCGGGUUGUAAACCGCUUUCGCCUGUGACGAAGCGUGAGUGACGGUAAUGGGUAAAGAAGCACCGGCUAACUACGUG